rnacentral:rRNA from 1 species
AGAGUUUGAUCAUGGCUCAGAUUGAACGCUGGCGGCAGGCCUAACACAUGCAAGUCGAGCGGAUGAAGGGAGCUUGCUCCUGGAUUCAGCGGCGGACGGGUGAGUAAUGCCUAGGAAUCUGCCUGGUAGUGGGGGAUAACGUCCGGAAACGGGCGCUAAUACCGCAUACGUCCUGAGGGAGAAAGUGGGGGAUCUUCGGACCUCACGCUAUCAGAUGAGCCUAGGUCGGAUUAGCUAGUUGGUGGGGUAAAGGCCUACCAAGGCGACGAUCCGUAACUGGUCUGAGAGGAUGAUCAGUCACACUGGAACUGAGACACGGUCCAGACUCCUACGGGAGGCAGCAGUGGGGAAUAUUGGACAAUGGGCGAAAGCCUGAUCCAGCCAUGCCGCGUGUGUGAAGAAGGUCUUCGGAUUGUAAAGCACUUUAAGUUGGGAGGAAGGGCAGUAAGUUAAUACCUUGCUGUUUUGACGUUACCAACAGAAUAAGCACCGGCUAACUUCGUGCCAGCAGCCGCGGUAAUACGAAGGGUGCAAGCGUUAAUCGGAAUUACUGGGCGUAAAGCGCGCGUAGGUGGUUCAGCAAGUUGGAUGUGAAAUCCCCGGGCUCAACCUGGGAACUGCAUCCAAAACUACUGAGCUAGAGUACGGUAGAGGGUGGUGGAAUUUCCUGUGUAGCGGUGAAAUGCGUAGAUAUAGGAAGGAACACCAGUGGCGAAGGCGACCACCUGGACUGAUACUGACACUGAGGUGCGAAAGCGUGGGGAGCAAACAGGAUUAGAUACCCUGGUAGUCCACGCCGUAAACGAUGUCGACUAGCCGUUGGGAUCCUUGAGAUCUUAGUGGCGCAGCUAACGCGAU